rnacentral:tRNA from 5 species
GCGGAAGUAGCUCAGUUGAUAGAGCAUUAGCCUUCCAAGCUGAUGGUCGCGGGUUUGAGCCCCGUCUUCCGCU